rnacentral:sRNA from 1 species
GACCCUCGCUUCCGCCAUGGGAACCACCCACAACACACUACCAGAUUAUGGGACUUACGCCCCUUCGUGCUCUGCAUAUAUGCCCAUGAAGGGUUCACCGAGCACCACAACCUUCCGUGCAGAACGUGCCACAGUAGAAGGCACGACAAUUCCGAGGGAUCCCCGCAACAAACCAACUCUGCACUGUGAGGCCAGGCCGGCACCUCAACAGAACACUUUCCCGAGGGACAAGGCGACAGGAGAAACAUUGCUGAUUGAUUCGACCACGACCGCCCCAUGGCUCCAACCGUGUUGAACAGCCCAGGGUGCACUUCCGGAUGCUUGGGAACUUGACCCAUGCAUGGUGCUGCGGAUACGCCCAAGAAGGGUUCACCGAGCACCACAACCUUCCGUGAACAACGGGCCUCGGUAGAAGCAACGACAAUUCCGAGGGAUCCCCGCAACAAACCAACCCUGCACUGUGAGGCCAGGCCGGCACCUCGACAGAACACUUUUCCGAGGGACAAGGCGACAGGAGAAACAUUGCUGAUUGAUUCGACCACGUCCGCCCCAUGGCUCCAACCGUGUUGAACAGCCCAGGGUGCACUUCCGGAUGAUUGGGAACUUGACCCAUGGUGCUGCGGCUACGCCCAUGAAGGGUUCACCGAGCACCACAACCUUCCGUGCAGAACGGGCCACAGUAGAAGCCACGACAAUUCCGAGGGAUCCCCGCAACAAACCAACUCUGCACUGUGAGGCCAGGCCGGCACCUCAACAGAACACUUUCCCGAGGGACAAGGCGACAGGAGAAACAUUGUUGAUUGAUUCGACCACGACCGCCCCAUGGCUCCAACCGUGUUGAACCGCCCAGGGUGCACUUCCGGAUGCUUGGGAACUUGACCCUUCGUGCCUGAAGAUAUUACCAAAACCAUCCGUGCAGAUCAGGCCACACAUGAACACACGACAAUUCCGAGGUAUCCGCAACAACCCAUCUCGGCACUGUGAGGCCAGGCAGGCACCUCAACAGCGCACACUUUUCCGAGGGACAGGCAACAGGGGACACGUUGCUGAUGGCCUCAACCACAAACGCGCCAUGGCCUCAACCAUGUUCAACCGCCAAAAGUGCACUUCCGGAUGCUUGGAAACUUGCCCCUUCGUGCUACGGCCAUGCCCAUUAGAGCAACACCUAGCGCCACAUCCUUCCGUGCAGAACGGGUCACACGAGAAGCCUCGGCACGUCCGAGGGAUGCCCACAACUACCCAUCUCGGCACUGUGAGGCCAGGCCGGCACCUCAACAGAGCACACAUUUCCGAGGGACGAGGCGACUGCAGAGACGAUGCUGAUGGCCUCAACCACUACCGCGCCAUGGCCUCAACCAUGUUCAACCGCCAAAAGUGCACUUCCGGAUGCUUGGACACUUGCCCCUUCGUGCUACGGCUAUGCCCAUUAAGGCAACACCUAGCGCCACAUCCUUCCGUGCAGAACGGUCCACACGAGAAGCCUCGGCACGUCCGAGGGAUGCCCACAACUACCCAUCUCGACACUGUGAGGCCGGGCCGGCACCUCAACAGAGCACACAUUUCCGAGGGACGAGGCGACUGGAGAGACGUUGCUGAUUGCUUCAACCUUGGCCUUGCCUCGGCUUCGACCGUGCUGAACCGCCCAGAGUGCACUUCCGGAUGUUUGGGAACUUGCCCCUCAGUGCUACGGAUAUGCCACUGAAGGGAACGCGUAGACCCACAUCCUUCCGUGCCGAACGGGUCACACUAGAAGCAUCGGCGCGUCCAAGGGAUGCGCACAACCACCCAUCUCCGCACUGUGAGGCCAGGCCGGCACCUCAACAGAGAACACUUUUCCGAGGGACGAGGCGACUGGAGAGACGUUGCUGAUUGCUUCAACCAUGGCCUUGCCUUGGCUUCGACCGCGUUGAACCGCCCAGAGUGCACUUCCGGAUGUUUGGGAACUUGCCCCUCAGUGCUACGGAUAUGCCACUGAAGGGAACGCGUAGACCCACAUCCUUCCGUGCCGAACGGGUCACACUAGAAGCCUCGGCGCGUCCGAGGGAUGCGCACAACUACCCAUCUCGGCACUGUGAGGCCAGGCCGGCACCUCAACAGAGCACACUUUUCCGAGGGACGAGGCGACUGGAGAGACGUUGCUGAUCGCGUCAAACACGGCCGCGCCUUGGCUUCGACCAUGAUGAACCGCCCAUAGUGCACUUCCGGAUGAUUGGGAACUUGCCCCCUUCGUGCUAAGGAUAUGCCCGUGAAGGCUUCACCUAGCGCCACAACCUUCCGUGCGGAACGGGUCACACUGGAUGCCUCGGCACGUCCGAGGGAUGACCGCAACUACCCACUGUGAUGCCAGACCGGCACCUCGACCAAAGGGACGAAGGCAUCAAGAUUUUUGACUUGGACCUUGAGGAACAAGCAAAGAACUUGCUGCACGCCAAAUGUGUCAUGGUGCCGGAUAAGCUCACUACGAGAUGCCCACAUUUUUCCGUUGGACCAGCCAGAACCGGGACACGUACGACCUGGAUUCGGCGUGGACUAUUUUUGACUCGGUCGAAUUUCCCACAUGGCCAUGGAAAAACGCACCAGCAUGCUUGGGAAAGCUUGCUGGGGCGCUGGGAGGGAGCCCCAUGGCACGCCAUCCUGACCCACCAAGGUGCGUGGGCAGGCAGGCAGCUCCCCCCUAUAGUAGGCUAAUAUGCAAAAACCCACUCUCCAGCACCGGACAUCCUUUUUUCUGGGGAGACAUACUCGGUUUUUCUGAGGCUACGGGUCGAAUUUUGACCUGAUUUUUUGCACAAGUGCUUAUAGAAAUGGGACAUAGUGCUCCACAAAGUUUCACGAUUUUUCUCCUAGCCGAUAUUAUUUCAUGAUUUUUCCAGCCGGCGAGCAUUUUAUAAUUCCAGAAAAUUGGAAAAUCAGUGUGGGACAUGUUUCUGGAGCUCUUCUCUUUGCAGGCAACCAUGGCUAAACAAUUCGAAGUUGGCCUCCAAAUUUGGUGCCAUUUUCAUGAAGGGGUCGGCGCCUUACCAUGCUUUCACCGAAAUAGGGAAUGCAAGUGAAGCAAAAAAAACUCACACGAGGCACGGGACAUGCCCAUGGGCCACUUUCGCCUUCACCUAGGACCGCUCGGGACACAUGUGCCAUGGCUUGGGUCAAUUUCACCUAGGACCACUCGGGACACAUUUCGCAUGGCAUCAAUUACCCCUAAUGGCACUCGUGCAGGUCCAAUCAUGGCCUCUCUUUCAGCUAGCAUUAGGAAAGUGUGUCACGGCCUCAAUUUCACCUAGCACUCGGACACAUGUGUCAUGUCCUCAAUGUCACCGAGCACGUGUAAUGUCCUCACUUCCUCCGAGCACGUUUGUCAUUCCCGCACUUUCACCUAGCACUCGGGAUCACGCACGAGGAACCACACCCCAUG